CAAAUUAGAGUUUGAAAAUAAAUAUUCCAUUUACAUUGGAAAGAUAAUGGUUAUCAUUUAAUUUGA
rnacentral:tRNA from 1 species